UUAUACAAUAAAGUUGUCUUGAGUCUCUCCUUCUGCGUCCACGUCAUCAGAGAGGUAAGGGCAAAUGAAGACACGUGUCUGCUUAACUUUUUCAGAUACUUUCUGACGUUUUCGUGAUGUUUAUUAACUCGCGCUUUAUUUUGUUUUAAUUUAUUACGGGCUUACGUUGAUUUGUAAGCACACAAUUUAUGGGCUAAAUAUAAAUUGGCCCAUCAAGGAACUAAACCUUCUUCUCUUUGCAGCCGUAAUCUGAACUUAUUCAGCCAUCCAAGACCUAACGCCACCAUUUCGACUUUCCUGGCGAAGUAACGCUUCCUCUUAAAAGUCUUUCAAUCAACAAUAUCCACUAAUCGCUCUAUCUCGUCUUCAUUGCAGCAUUAAUUCAUCGUUCAUAAGCUCCUUAAAGCGUAUAGAUAUAUCUUGAUUUGGCCUCGCGAAAUCCCCUACUUUCAGCCGCCUGAUUUACUCUGAAUUUCUCUGGCAUGAUUUCCGAAAAUGACUACAUGUCACCAUCAUUUUUCCGACUUGAAGGCAUGACUGCGUAAGGAGAUGGUCCAGACGAGACUCCUCCGUCUCUGGGAGGCUUUAAAUGAAGAUUUUAUCUGAAAAUCCUUUUUUCGUGAGGCGUCAAUUAAUGUGCACCGUCAGAACAUCUUCAAACACUUGCGAAGCGAAGGAUAUUUGUAUGAGCUUAGUGUAUGUGAAGUAACCCGUAGCAACCCCAACUUCCACUUUAGCGAUAGCCCCAUUGCUAUUCGUUUCACUAACAAAACCGUCUUCGCUGAGCUUUCUGAGAUGGGCAACCGAUCCCGCUGUAGAGCUUCAAGUUGCGGAACUACGACCAAUUUCUGGUAGUAGCAAACACGAGUAUACCAGAUAUUGUUGGUAAGUUAGGGUACUAGAACUGCUUACAACGAAGAGAGCCAGAGUACACAAUGUCUCAUGAUCACCAUAAGCAUUGAACGGCACUCUAAUGUAUGCCUAAGUGUGUUUCCUUAAUAGGGCCAAGGACCGAAGGUGGUGGGUGGUUGCCACUAGCAUCAACCCAAUAUUGAUAUUGUCUCAGGACGUCUCUUUCGAAUGCAACUUCAGGAACUCAUUUCUAUUUUGAUAAUGAGUGCGCUCCUGGUCAAAGUUAUCUAGAGAGGGUAUGCAAUUGUGAGGAAGGCUCAACUUUCAACCCUACGAAGUACGGUGGUCUGAAGAAGAUUGAAAGAAUGACGUUAGGAGAGCUUAAUGACUACUUGCUGAAAUCUCAACCUCAGGUAAACUGAGAACCCUUACAAAUUUGAGAUUCCUAAAUUCAACAUGACAAAUAAGUGGCUUAACAAUAUCUCAAUAACUACACUCUACGGAGUUCAUUUUCACUGGUGUUGUGCAUGAAUAGAAACAUGGUGCUACCACAAAUUGCAGCAUGGGUUCUCAUCAUUUUCAUGCGCUCCCUCCAAUGAGGAGAAUGCAAUUAGUUAUCAGGUUGCUGUUACACAAGACCUCCAGGAUUGGGACCUCCCACAAUGCCUACAGGAGAUUGUUGGGAGCACCUUAAACUUCCAAUUGAGUCUAUCUCACUUCAACUUCAAUGCCAUACAUCAGAGUUUCGCUGUUUCCCGCAUUUUCUGACAACAACCAACGCCCACUUCAGCUUAAUUUUGAGGUUAAUGGUGGGAAUGAAAUGCCACAAUCAUUGUCUCUAGAGCUGUCCCGUGAAUUAGGGUGAAAGUGAUGGUAAUGGCGAAGUUGCAGGUGGAAGAGUGAGCCAUUAGAUCCAAGUCAAACAUCUAUUGAUGGGAGGAAUACAAGCGAGGACGGGCCAGUGAAAGAGGAAGGUUGCUAUGGCAAGAAGCCACAGACUAACAAAGAACAAGUGGAGCUUCAAAUAGAAGACUGGCAUGUUCGAUGUUUUUGUUUAAAAAUAAAACUACCAAACACUAUGGUUUACUUUUCAUGGUGGACUUUUUUCUUAUUUGGAUUUUAAUUGGUUUCAUAUUUUAACGUUUCCAUCGUAUACAUUUAACAGUCAAACCCAAAAAAAAAUCGUACUACACAGACCUAUCACUUUUACUAACAAACCUUAUCAGCUAUCUGGAAAUUAGAUAAAAUUGUAUUAAUGCGCUCAUAAAAUAUAUGAAUUCAGGUGGCAGAAGAUACCAAAACACACAACUAUUGUGGUCAUGUUUUUUUAUUUUUCUCAACUGCCGGCGAAGAUAACGGCGUUAGUACUAUCAUCUACUCGGAGGUUUUCAACAACCUCUUUUAAAAAUAGGUUCGCACAAUAUCAUAAGCCCUUAAACACUACAAAUACAUUACAAAGCUAACCUAACUUCCCUUUUCAAAUGGUUGUCACACACGAAGCUCCAAAUCCAGAAGUCCAUAAAGCAACCAGGAAUUCUUAACAACUCUUCCCAGCAACCAUGAGAACUAUGUUUUAUGACUAAUAUUUUAAUUUCUAAACGUCAACCUUUUAAGUUUUACCAAAACUGAGUCAGGACAAUUGCACGUCCAAAUUCACGUCUCCAGCUAAAAAUAACAAUUCCCAAGAGGUUCGACCACAACACAUACUCACCCAAAUAAAAUACAAACCAAAGACUAUGAACAACUUACUCAGCUUGAUGUAGACACUAAACUCUGUUGACCGACCCUAGCUAACACAAACAGUCAAAACACCAACUACAAUCCUCUGAGCCCAUUAAAAAAAUUAUAAGCCCAUAUCCUACUAGAAAAACAGCUAAUCCACCAAAAGAUAUACCGCAAAACACUAACACGACUCAAACAUGCUUUGAAAGAAAAAUCGUCCAAAACUAAUACUCAAAUUAUCCCACCACUCCACAUUACACACAUAAAAAUAAAAAAAAACAACAUAACACAACACAAACCCAUGUGUUCGUAUCAAUGUAAGCAUUACAAAAUAUACCCCCACCCAUAUACACACUCAAACACACACAACCAAAAAAACUAUACAGACAAAACCACAAACAAAAGAAUUACACAACAAACGCAUUGACAUGACGUCGAAAGCUGAUGACUCCAAACCUGACAUAUACUAACAUGUACUCAUAAAAUCCUUUAUUAGUUCACGACCUUCAAUUCUUAAUUGGUUCAAACUUGAUUGGACUAACAACUAACAUAUGAUAAAUGAAAUAAAUUGAAUUCAAAAAAGAAAACAACGUUCGAAUCCGGCGCGUAGCGCCGGAAUACUCCUAGUAACAAAAUAAAUUAGAAAUAGAAACACUAAUAACCACAGAAAUUAUCAGUGUUCAAAGCGCUAAGCGGACUGUGACUCAGCGCAUAGUGCUUAAAGACUAGACGUUAAAAUAGUUAGUUAAUCAUUC